UACGUAGGGUGCGAGCGUUUAAUCGGAAUUACUGGGCGUAAAGCGUGCGCAGGCGGUUCGUUAAGUUCGAUGUGAAAGCCCCGGGCUCAACCUGGGAAUGGCAUUGGAAACUGGCGGACUCGAGUGUGGCAGAGGGGGGUGGAAUUCCGCGUGUAGCAGUGAAAUGCGUAGAGAUGCGGAGGAACACCGAUGGCGAAGGCAGCCCCCUGGGCUAACACUGACGCUCAGGCACGAAAGCGUGGGGAGCAAACAGG
rnacentral:rRNA from 1 species